AUACUGAAAUAUUUUCACUUUCUGUCUAACUGCUGUGUGGAGUUACAUGGUUCAUUUUGUUAAAUGGAUUUCAGCAACUUUAUCAGCAAAUUUAUCGUUUGGUCUUAUUGAGCUGCAUCCUGUGGCCACAUUCCUCGCUGAUGCAGUUGAUCAGCGUUCACCUUGAUCAGAUAUUGACUGCUGUGGAUCCUCCUGCCCUCCAGACCUGCCUGAUUCAUCCUUAGGCUCUAACUCAGCUUGGAGCUGCUGCACUUGUGACUCACUUACUGCUAUUGUGAACAUCCCACAUGGAUAUUCUAAAGAUUUGCACUUCCCAGAAACAGAUUAUGUCCAAGUUUCAGCCUGGCUUCAGUGGAUAAUCUCACCUGAAUACCGUAGACUUGUACAUAAGAACUACUGCUAUAAUCAUGAAGAUUGUCUCUUAUUC